GGAGACAAGUCCUAAUCAUAUUACUUGCGUCCCAAAUCCAUCUACAUGCUGAAACAGAUCUGUCCCUUAUUUAGUUGUAUAGCCCCAGAAUUGUCUUUCUAUAAUCUGUUUACUUGCAAGGAAAAUGUCUCAGCCAUUUUCUCAAUCUGUAGGAUGUCAAUGUGGCCUGGAGUAGCAGACAUCAAGAUGAAUCUCUUUCCCAUCAUUCAAGUACCUUCCUAACAAGAUUAAGGAAAGCUGCUAUGGGAGAUGGACCCUUCUCCCCGACAUCUAUCUAUCCAAUCAGAUUGAAAUGUUCUGGACAUCUACUCUUUGACCAAGAGAAUGAGUUUUUGCUGAGAAAGAAGCCUAAUGAGAAGAGUGGGAAGGUCACUUCUGCUUUACUGGUGGAUUUGGACUGUCUCCAUGCUUCAACUGGGCUCUCCUGUGGUCACGUUUACUUCUUGCUGUGACUGAAAUAUCCCAAAGAACAACCUCAAGGAGAAAGGACUUAUUUGGGUUCACAGUUUCAGAGCAUUCAGUCCAUGGUUGUCUGACCCCAUGUGUUUGGGACGAACAUCAAGGGAUGGUUAGAGUACUGGGAGCACAGGGGAAAGUUGUUGACCUUGUAAACAGGGAGCAGAGAGUAAGACAAGAUUGGGGUGGGGAUGGGGCAUGGGAUAGGGCCAGGGAAAAUGCAACCAUGCUGCAAAUGGCUUACUUUCUUCAUCUAAGCCCCACACCCUUAAGUUUCCAUAACAUCACCAAAUAAUGUCAGCAAAUGGGGACCAAGCAUUAGACACAUGUACCUGUGUGGGAUAUGUAAACCAUAUCCAACCCUGUCAGACAUAUGGGUAAUACACCUCACAGGAGCAUCUAUUUUUAUGUAUGAUUGUCGUUAAGGCUCCAGUUAGGACCUAUUGAGAUUUUCUUACUCUCCUCCCUUAUAGAUAGAAUUAUGCAAUCAUCCCAUGCCCUGUUCUCAUGAGCAACAUCAGGCAUUCCUUACGAAGUUGGUCUGUAAAUCAAAAGCCUGGCAAUGGUUUUAGGGAUUUCCUAGAUAGCUUGUUGGGCCAGGCAGGAGAUUCAGCAGUCCAUCCUCCACGAGCUUCUCUUGGUUAUUUCAAAGAGACUUCAGUGCUGAUGGUGAAAUGUCUGUGAGAAAUUUCUAUGUGUAAGGCACACUCCUCAGAAUCAUAAAGGGACAUAGAGAAGGACAGCGAAAGCCCUUGACUUCAGCACAUUAUGACCAGGAAUCCAGGUCACAAACAUGAAAUUAAACAAUGAACUAAGGGUCUUGUAUGAACACAAAGAGCAAAGUCCCAGAGAUGUUCCAGAGCAGGGUGUAGUUAAGAAUUGGGUUAACUCAACAUACCUAACCUUUUCUAGGAAAACGAAGGCAUCUACUACCGUCUAACACAGCCUUUGUAUUCAUUCUCUCUCAAAGGCAAAGCCAGAUUUUAUGUCCCACCCUAUGGAAUUCAUGAUUUGUUUUCCAGCCAAAACACAGAAACAGAGCGGUGCUUAUUAUUUUAUUUAUCCAAACAAAGAGUUGAUGCAACUAGAUUAGAUAGUUUAAUUUCCUAGGAAAAGUUUCACUGAGUCACUGAGCCAUAUAGAACAGCACACUGCUGUGUGUCUUAAGAAGUCCAGAAACAACACGUAGUGGCAAAAUCAUAAAAUAAAAUAAAAUAAAAUAAAAAUAAUAAAAUAAUA
ensembl:lncRNA